GAUGAAGAACGCAGCGAAACGCGAUAUGUAAUGUGAAUUACAGAAUUCAGUGAAUCAUCGAAUCUUUGAACGCACAUGGCGCCUUCCAGUAUCCUGGGAGGCAUGCCUGUCCGAGCGUCGUUUCAACCCUCGAGCCCCCGUGGCCCGGCGUUGGGGAUCUGCCCAGGCAGUCCCCGAAAACCAGUGGCGGACCCGUUACAGGCCCUUCCCUUGCGUAGUAGCAUUCGCCUCGCAUCGGGAGCCAGCGGGCUUCCAGCCUCUAAACCCCCAUCAAGUCCGCCCCGGCGGCACCAAGGUUGACCUCGGAUCAGGUAGGAAUACCCGCUGAACUUAAGCAUAUCAAUAAGCGGAGGA
rnacentral:misc_RNA from 1 species